AUUGAACGCUGGCGGCAGGCCUAACACAUGCAAGUCGAACGGUAGCACAGAGAGCUUGCUCUCGGGUGACGAGUGGCGGACGGGUGAGUAAUGUCUGGGAAACUGCCCGAUGGAGGGGGAUAACUACUGGAAACGGUAGCUAAUACCGCAUAACGUCGCAAGACCAAAGUGGGGGACCUUCGGGCCCCACACCAUCGGAUGUGCCCAGAUGGGAUUAGCUAGUAGGUGGGGUAAUGGCUCACCUAGGCGACGAUCCCUAGCUGGUCUGAGAGGAUGACCAGCCACACUGGAACUGAGACACGGUCCAGACUCCUACGGGAGGCAGCAGUGGGGAAUAUUGCACAACGGGCGCAAGCCUGAUGCAGCCAUGCCGCGUGUAUGAAGAAGGCCUUCGGGUUGUAAAGUACUUUCAGCGGGGAGGAAGGCGGUGGAGUUAAUAACUUCACCGAUUGACGUUACCCGCAGAAGAAGCACCGGCUAACUCCGUGCCAGCAGCCGCCGUAA
rnacentral:rRNA from 1 species